CAGCCGCGGUAAUUCCAGCUCCAAUAGCGUAUAUUAAAGUUGCUGCAGUUAAAAAGCUCGUAGUUGGAUCUCGGUAUCACUGUUGCCUGUUGGAUUCUGGGUGGUUGGCUACGGUGCAUGGGUUCCGCCUGUGUUACCAUGGUCGCUGUUCAGGCUGGCAAAGCGGUGGUGUCACCUUUCAGCCAUGUCUGUGGUGAAAUACCCGCAGGUGUAGGCGAACGUCAGGCGGUGCCUUGCGACAGUAGGGUUCGUCGGCUCGUUUGCAUGCCUUUGGAUGCCCUUCAAAAGGUGUCUGUGGGCGGAUGGCACGUUUACUUUGAACAAAUUUGAGUGCUCAAACCACGCCGAUGUUGCCUGAAAAGUUUUGCAUGGAAUAAUGGAAUAGGACUUCGGUUCUAUUUCGUUGGUUUUCGGAUCCGAAGUAAUGAUCAAA
rnacentral:rRNA from 1 species